AAUGUACUCCCUCCGUCCGGAAAUACUUGUCAUCAAAAUGAAUAAAAUGGGAUGUAUCUAGAUGUAUUUUAGUUCUAGAUACAUCCCUUUUUGUCCAUUUUGAUGACAAGUAUUUUCGGACGGAGGGAGUAGUAU
rnacentral:pre_miRNA from 1 species